CAGUCGCCGCGGUAAUACGAACCGUGCGAACGUUAUUCGGAAUUACUGGGCUUAAAGCGCGUGUAGGUGGGAAGGUACGUCUGUCGCUGAAAUCCCCCGGCUCAACCGGGGAACGGGCGUGGAUACGGCCAUCCUUGAGGAACGUAGGGGGACCUGGAACUUCCGGUGGAGCGGUGAAAUGCGUUGAGAUCGGAAGGAACGCCCGUGGCGAAAGCGAGGUCCUGGACGUUUUCUGACGCUGAAACGCGAAAGCUAGGGGAGCGAACGGGAUUAGAGACCCCAGUAGUCCCUGUCUCUUAUU
rnacentral:rRNA from 1 species